AGGUGAACUCCCCAGCAGCCCAGAGGCUGUCAAAAGCGUAAGACUGAGACUCAGUAAAGGGCAGAGUUUAGCUGUUGCCUCAGGCUCACUUUCCCAGCUCCACCCUAGACUAAACUGGACUGACAUAGAAGAGGAAUACAAUGAGCUAGGUAUUUCCAAGAAGACUGUAGUUCACUUUAAAUGCCUAGCAUUGGAGUGCCCUCUGUGCAACAGCACCGUAUUUAGGCUUUAUGUGAAGUAUCUGUCUUAAAUCACCAACAAUUUCAUCUCGCAGAUAUUGUUAAUACUCCCGUUUUACAGGUGAGAUGAUUUGAACUUAAAGAAGUUAAAAUUGGACCAAAGAUCUUGGAGUGAAUAAGAAAUAGAGGCAAUAUUUCAAUCCAGGCAUUCUGAUGGGAUUGACUUACUCGAGUUUUUUUUUUAAUAGUAUUAUUAGUAGAUGAUAAUAUCUUUUGUCUUCACAUCAUGGAAUUUUGAAUCUAGAAAAUAACUUGGAAAUCAUCUAGACUGACUUUCUUAUUUUGAAAAUGAUAACACUGAGUGCCAGAAAGUUUAUGUGACUUUCCUAAGUUCACACACUGAAUCAAUGACUAACCCAGAUCAGAAUUCAGGGCUCCUGCAAAAAGGAAUGCUGAUACACUAUUGGUGGGAAUGUAAAUUAAUUCAAUCUCUAUGGGAAACAGUAUGGAAAUAAAUAUAGAACUACCA
rnacentral:lncRNA from 1 species